rnacentral:rRNA from 1 species
GAUGAACGCUGGCUACAGGCUUAACACAUGCCAGUCGAGGGGAAACGACGGGGAAGCUUGCUUCCCCGGGCGUCGACCGGCGCACGGGUGAGUAACGCGUAUCCAACCUGCCUCUGACUGAGGGAUAACCCGUCGAAAGUCGGCCUAAUACCUCAUGGUAUCGUCUGCGGGCAUCCAACGACGAUUAAAGAUUUCAUCGGUCAGGGACGGGGAUGCGUCUGAUUAGCUUGUUGGCGGGGUAACGGCCCACCAAGGCUACGAUCAGUAGGGGUUCUGAGAGGAAGGUCCCCCACAUUGGAACUGGGACACGGUCCAAACUCCUACGGGAGGCAGCAGUGAGGAAGAUUGGUCAAUGGGCGAGAGCCUGAACCAGCCAAGUAGCGUGCAGGAAGACGGCCCUAUGGGUUGUAAACUGCUUUUAUGCGGGGAUAAAGUGAGGGACGUGUCCCUCAUUGCAGGUACCGCAUGAAUAAGGACCGGCUAAUUCCGUG